UUUCUUCCAUUCUCUCAUAAAGAUAUAUAUACAGAACACACUUUGAAGUGUGAGAAAAUGUCCUAUAGCAAGUGACAGGCAAGCAAAAUGAUGUCUAUAAAACCAUGAGAUACCUGGAGGACUUUGCUGCACAAAUGCGAUCUUUCAGUGAAAGAGAAAAUAUAGACCUUUGGCUAAACAAGUUCUCAACUGGGCAGGCGAGCAAGCAAAUGGAAUACCAACUCACUCCUCUCUUAAGAAUGCCACAGCUGAGUUCUACUUAGAGCCACCCACAAAUUGGGAAUUACCGGAAUGUUCUGCCAGACUCAUUAACAAUCAGAUGUCAAGGGCCCACCCAAGGGGCUGAAUUUUUCCCAUCCUUGCCCCUAUUACUCCACCCCAAAACCCAUCCUACUCCACUUCAUCUUACCACAUGAAAAGAAGCAAACAAACAAACAUAACUUUUCCCCUCUGAUCAUCUCCUUUCUCUGAAGGUCAUGAGGGAGCGAAAGGUUUUUGCUUUUUACUGUCUAUGGCCAAUCUUGCCCACCCCAGAUAAUUUGUGCUUAAUGCAUUAAAAAUGACUGUCCUUAACUGAUGGUGUCCCAUA
rnacentral:lncRNA from 11 species